rnacentral:rRNA from 1 species
CCUACGGUGGGCAGCAGUAGGGAAUCUUUCACAAUGGGCGAAAGCCUGAUGGAGCAACGCCGCGUGCAGGAUGAAGGCCUUCGGGUUGUAAACUUCUUUUAUAAGCGAGAAAUAUGAUGGUAACUUAUGAAUAAGGAUCGGCUAACUACGUGCCAGCAGCCGCGGUCAUACGUAGGAUCCGAGCAUUAUCCGGAGUGACUGGGUGUAAAGAGUUGCGUAGGUGGCAUGAUAAGUAGCUAGUGAAAUCUGGUGGCUAAACCAUUCAGACUAUUAGCUAAACUGUUAAGCUCGAGACCGUUAGGGGUAACUGGAAUUUCUAGUGUAGGAGUGAAAUGCGUAGAUAUUAGAAGGAACACCAAUGGCGUAGGCAGGUUGCUGGGACGGUUCUGACGCUGAGGCACGAAAGCGUAGGGAGCAAACAGGAUUAGAUACCCCAGUAGUC